ACAGCAGGAAGACAACAGUUUCUCCUGUAACUGGCCUAAAGGAUUUGGUGAGGUGCUCUGCACUGUGUAGGGAACAGCAGUGUGAGUCACUGGUGCCUCUGCAGAUGUGAAUGGGAGAUGGAGCAGGGGAGAAUCUCCUUGUGGACAAACAGUGAUGGCUAUUCCAGUAGAGCAGCCAGCCUUUUCCAGCUUCGCAGGAUGCUCUGUUGGGAAGACAACCUGCAGCUCCACCACCGAUGCUGCUCCCUCUCAUUCACAGGUGCCAGCACAUUGAGCUGCUACCCCUUCCUCCUGUGUGAUCUAGGUGCUGUCUGGAACUGCAUGUGAUCCAUCAGAUCCACAGACAUCAAUUCAAAUUAGCAUUUAUUAUUAUCAAUUCAAGUUAUCAUUUGGAAGGCAUAAAGUUGUGGCCACCUCAUACAAAGUAGAUUGCUUCUCACUUUUUACAGUGCCAUUAGCUUCCACCAAGAGCAUUUGUUACAUGGAAUUACAGUGUUAAAAUACCUUGUCUAUUUUUGUCCCAGAAACUGAAGUUUUAAGUCUUAAUCUGAAAGAUACCCAAAACUCUUCUCUGCAGCUGUAGGAGCCAAGAAUAGCAGCAGCAAUGAAAAAAAAAAAAAGCUUUCUGUUCUGCUGAACUCUGAAUGUUUAAAAGAUGUUCUUCUUUUACAGUACACAUCAGAAAAGGAAGAGCUGAUGGUUGUCUCCUUGCCCCAAACACUACCACUGGGGUUUGCACUCGGCAGGAGCCGUUUCUGAGGAUAUCUGAACCCACAUUUCCCCCAUAUCAGCCCAGUGUGCCAACUUCUGACUGCACAGCCUCAUCUUCUUUGGGCUGUCAAGCCAUAGUAGGAGAGAAAAUGUUCAGCAAUGACUGGAAAAUAUUAAUCAGCUUUCAGGUAAGACAUGCUCCCUAAGACUCCACUUUCCUACUAAGAGUGAGA
rnacentral:lncRNA from 1 species